AAUUUAGUAGCGAAGUAGCUGAUUUCACACUGUCAAGAAAAGUCUCUAUCGAGGUUAAAGGUACCCGUACCGCAAACCGACACAGGUGGGUGAGGAGAGUAUCCUAAGGCCAGCGAGAGAACUGUUGGUAAGGAACUCGGCAAAAUGACCCCGUAACUUAGGGAUAAGGGGUGCCACCAUCAGGUGGCCGCAGAGAAUAGGCCCAAGCGACUGUUUACCAAAAACAUAGGUUUCUGCUAAGUCGCAAGACGAUGUAUAGGAGCUGACGCCUGCCCGGUGCUGGAAGGUUAAGGGGA
rnacentral:rRNA from 1 species